UACGUAGGGGGCAAGCGUUGUCCGGAUUUAUUGGGCGUAAAGAGCGUGUAGGCGGCUUUGCAAGUCCGUUGUGAAAACUCGAGGCUCAACCUCGAGACGCCGGUGGAAACUGCAAAGCUAGAGUCCGGAAGAGGAGAGUGGAAUUCCUGGUGUAGCGGUGAAAUGCGCAGAUAUCUGCAGGAACACCCGUGGCGAAAGCGGCGCGCUGGACCACUACUGACGCUGAGGAACGAAAGCUAGGGGAGCAAACAGG
rnacentral:rRNA from 1 species